GAUGAACGCUGGCGGCGUGCUUAACACAUGCAAGUCGAACGGACCAUAUUCGUAUGGUUAGUGGCAGACGGGUGCGUAACACGUGGGUGACCUGCCCUUAAGUGGGGAAUAACUCCGCUAACGCGGAGCUAAUACCGCAUAUGUUCGCUCAUUCGGUUGGGCGAGUAAAGCAGCGAUGCGCUUAGGGAUGGGCCUGCGGCGGAUUAGGUAGUUGGUGGGGUAACGGCCUACCAAGCCGAUGAUCCGUAGGGGGCGUGAGAGCGUGGCCCCCCACACUGGCACUGAGACACGGGCCAGACUCCUACGGGAGGCAGCAGUGAGGAAUAUUGCGCAAUGGGGUAAACCCUGACGCAGCGACGCCGCGUGAGCGAAGAAGGCCUUCGGGUUGUAAAGCUCUGUUGUAAGGGACGAAUGUCGCGAUCAAUAAUACGGAUUGCGAAUGACGGUACCUUACCAGCAAGCCCCGGCUAACUACGUG
rnacentral:rRNA from 1 species